CAUAUCACGUUAAAACAUCGAUUCCCGGAUGACAACCGAAGUUAAGCAGCGUCGAGCCUGGUCAGUACCUAGAUGGGUGAGCGCUUGAGAACACCAGGUGCUGUAAG